AAUAGAAAGUAAAAAGGACUGGGGGGUGCAGCUCAGAGGUAGAGCACCCCUGGGUCCAAUCCACAGUCUCACCAAAAAAUAAAUAAUAAUGAUAAUAAUAAAAUUAAGAAAGAAAAGGUAGGAGGCUGUCAAAGACGAAGAGGAGGUUGGAAAGUGGGACUUCUGGAUCUUAUGGUCAUUCUACACAGUAACUUUUUUCUUUUCUUCUUUCUCUCAUUCUUUUUUAAUAUACUCUUAGUUGCAGAUGGACCCAAGAGCUUUAUUUUAUCGAGUUAGUACUAUGUAUGAGCUGCAGAUUGAACGCAGCGUCUCACGCGCGCUAGGCAAGAGCUCUACCAGCGAGCCACCGCCCCAGCCCCUCUGCACAGUCGCUCUUCAACUUAUUGUCACCGUACCUUGACACGAUUGCUGUGAGAGCAAAUUGAAAAGCCGCUCAGGGAAGUCUUGGGAGUGCAGACCAUUAGACCUUUAAGGAAGUUGUACAGCUCAAUGUCUUUUUUCCCUAAAUGAGCACCUCUCUGUAGCCACACCCCAGGGGAAGACAUAGAACAUUUUCAGCACCGUGGAAAGCUCCCAGGGGGACCUCCUCCCACUCAUCAGUCCUGUCUUGCACCUCGACCUGGAGGCCACCAUGACCCCGACUUCCACCUCCGCAGAUUGCUUUUGCCUGUAUUUUAACUCCAUGUAAAUGGGAGUCCUGGAGCAUUGUGACGUUCUGCGUCUGAAUUAUCUUACCCAACGUUGUCUUGGAGAUUCGCGGAAGAGAGGCCGUGAAGGGAUCGUGGCGUCUUUUUUCCUGGCUGUAUAGUAUUCUGUGAUGUGACUAUACCACAGUUGGCGAGUUCUACCGUUGAAGAAUAUUUGUGUCUCCAGUUGGUAGAGGAUGGUGUCAACCAGGCCUUUGUUGCUCUUGAAUGUCUGACCCUUUUCCAUGCUCUCUGCCCCCAACUUCUAAGUCUCUAAGUGGUGCCAGGCCAAUCCCCGGCUGCACCACCCCACCCCCCCGCCGCACCCAGCGUGGUUUUUAAACAUGGAAAGGGCUUCUAAGGAGGCGCAGCGGGUUGACGUUUGAAGCAGGGAAGCUGAGCUUGGUGAGAGGCAGUGGGUGGGGUUGUCUCGAUGCCAAGAGCAGGGAGGCGGGUGACGCGGGGAACAGCAGAGGCAGACUCUGCUCUGGUCCCAAAUUUGGGGGGGUGACUCACCCCAACUUAGACAUCUACUGCUGGCUCCAUUGGCUCCUGGCUCCUCCUCCUCACAGACCAGAGGGAGCAAAGCCCGGAGUCCAGAAUUCAGGCAUGCAGGUGGGGGGGGGGGGCAGGCAGAGAAGACGGGGUGAGGGGCACCCGGGCCUCCCCGGUUGAGUCACCGGAAAGGAAUGGAAACAGGGUGUGGGCUGAGGCGGAGUGAGCCCAGCCUCACCCUCUCAGGACCCCACCUGGGCUCUGGGGUGAGAGUCCCACCUGCACCACCGUCCUGUCCCUGUCCCCGGGGAGCAAACCCUUGGAGGGCUCUCCUUGGGGGGUACAGUCCCUGCCUAGGUGUGAGGAGGGUGGAACAAAGCUGGGUAAAGCAGGAAGGGAUAGAGUUAGCUCUCAAGAAGGACUUUCUGAUCAGGUGUGGUGGUGGCACUCGUCUGUGUAAUCCCAGCAACUCGGGGAAUUGAGGCAGGAGGAGAGGAAGUUAGGCAAGUUUGUUAGACUCUAAAUCAAAAUCAAAAUAAAAGGGGCUGAGGAUGUGGCCCAGCGGUGGAAUGUUGGCCUAGCGUGUUCUUAUCCCCAGCAACACACACACACACACACACACACACAGUCCUUCCCGACUGGAAACUGGGCAAUCCAGGAAGGCAUUUCUCAAAGCAAGUUGCAAAAUCCUCCUUGGGAAGAACUUGGAGUUUGGUCUGGAGCCAACCAGGCCUAUCUUUAUGGCUCAGAGGAUGUCCCAAGUGGUAGACAUUUCCCUUUCUUGUCAUUGCUCAGGGAACACACGCUGCGUGUUCUGGGCGCUGGUCUCUUGAUCAGGGGCCCGCCUGGCUCUCCUCCCAGUCGGCCUUGCUGGAGGUGACGGUCACUUACCUUCUCGCCUCCACCGGCUCUGCCUCUGGCUAAUGUCCGAAUAACAGUAGUAUCUACUGAGUACUUAGUCCUAAGUACUGUUCUUAGUCCUAAGUACUGUUCUUAGUCCUAAGUACUGUUCUAGGUACCUGUGUUAAGUACUGUCACCAUCCCAUGAGACAGGUCCCAUGGGAUGCAAAGGGGACACAGCCAGAACACAGAAGAACGGGAAUCCAAGGAUCCAAGGGCUAUGUGGUGCUGCAGGGGUGCUGGGCGCCCCUUCUGCCGGGUGCUGUAAGCAUAAACCCACAUUCAUCGUCACAACCACCAUUAGGGAAAGUGACCCUUGGUCCUGUUUGUUACUGAGCUUCCUUCCUGAGUCUGAAAUGGGUGAAUCCAGGUGGAAGAAUUUUUCAUUCUUGCAGAUUUUCUCUUGCAGAAGAGAAAUAUUUCCUGAAAAUUAUUUCAGAAGAGAACAUUUAAAAAAACAACCCCUGCACAUACCAGAGAGAUCUCAGCAGCUCCGAGGGCAUUCCCUAAUGUCCGAAUGACAGUGGUAUCUGCUGAGUACUUAGUCCUAAGUACUGUUCUUAGUCCCUAAGUACUAUUCUUAGUCCUUAAGUACUGUUCUAGGUACCUGUGUUAAGUCCUGUCACCAUCCCAUGGGACCUGUCUAAUUUCUUUUUCUCCCCCACUCUUUGUGAU
rnacentral:lncRNA from 1 species